rnacentral:rRNA from 1 species
UGCUUGUCUCAAAGAUUAAGCCAUGCAUGUCUAAGCAUAAACCGAAUAUGGUAAAGCCGCGAAUGGCUCAUUACAACAGCCAUAGUUUAUUGGAUCUUAGAGUCCUACUUGGAUACCUGUGGUAAUUCUAGAGCUAAUACACGCAAUCAAGCCUCAACCUUACGGGCGGGGCGCAUUUAUUAGAACAAAACCAAUUGGCUUCGGCCAUAGAUUGGUGAAUCUGAAUAACUACGCUGAUCGCACGGGCUUGUCCCGGCGACGUAUCCUUCAAGUGUCUGCCUUAUCAACUUCUCGAUGGUAGUUUAUAUGACUACCAUGGUUGUAACGGGUAACGGAGAAUAAGGGUUCGACUCCGGAGAGGGAGCCUGAGAAACGGCUACCACAUCCRAGGAAGGCAGCAGGCA